CCCUUAGAUGUUCUGGGCCGCACGCGCGCUACACUGAUGCGUUCAACGAGUAUACAACCUUGAUCGAUAGGUCUGGGUAAUCUUGUGAAUGCGCAUCGUGCUAGGGAUAGAUUGUUGCAAUUUUCAAUCUUGAACGAGGAAUUCCUAGUAAACGCAAGUCAUCAGCUUGCAUUGAUUACGUCCCUGCCCUUUGUACACACCGCCCGUCGCACCUACCGAUUGAAUGGUUUAGUGAGAUCUUCGGAUUGGCCACCUUGGUGCCUUCGCGGGUCCAUGGCGUGCCGAAAAGUUGUUCAAACUUGAUCAUUUAGAGGAAGUAAAAGUCGUAACA
rnacentral:rRNA from 1 species